rnacentral:rRNA from 1 species
GACGAACGCUGGCGGCGUGCUUAACACAUGCAAGUCGAACGGAAAGGCCCUGCUUUUGUGGGGUGCUCGAGUGGCGAACGGGUGAGUAACACGUGAGUAACCUGCCCUUGACUUUGGGAUAACUUCAGGAGACUGGGGCUAAUACCGGAUAGGAGCUCCUGCUGCAUGGUGGGGGUUGGAAAGUUUCGGCGGUUGGGGAUGGACUCGCGGCUUAUCAGCUUGUUGGUGGGGUAGUGGCUUACCAAGGCUUUGACGGGUAGCCGGCCCGAGAGGGUGACCGGCCACAUUGGGACUGAGAUACGGCCCAGACUCCUACGGGAGGCAGCAGUGGGGAAUAUUGCACAAUGGGCGGAAGCCUGAUGCAGCAACGCCGCGUGCGGGAUGACGGCCUUCGGGUUGUAAACCGCUUUCGCCUGUGACGAAGCGUGAGUGACGGUAAUGGGUAAAGAAGCACCGGCUAACUACGUG